UACGUAGGGUGCAAGCGUUGUCCGGAAUUAUUGGGCGUAAAGAGCUCGUAGGCGGUUUGUCGCGUCUGCUGUGAAAACUGGAGGCUCAACCUCCAGCCUGCAGUGGGUACGGGCGGACUAGAGUGCGGUAGGGGAGAUUGGAAUUCCUGGUGUAGCGGUGGAAUGCGCAGAUAUCAGGAGGAACACCGAUGGCGAAGGCAGAUCUCUGGGCCGUAACUGACGCUGAGGAGCGAAAGCGUGGGGAGCGAACAGG
rnacentral:rRNA from 1 species